AACUUUCAGCAACGGAUCUCUUGGCUCUCGCAUCGAUGAAGAACGCAGCGAAAUGCGAUAAGUAAUGUGARUUGCAGAAUUCAGUGAAUCAUCGAAUCUYUGARCGCRCCUUGCGCUCCUUGGUAUUCCGAGGAGCAUGCCUGUUUGAGUGUCAUU
rnacentral:rRNA from 1 species